UACGAGGGGGGCAAGCGUUGUUCGGAAUUAUUGGGCGUAAAGAGCUCGUAGGCGGUUUGUUGCGUCGGCUGUGAAAUCCCGAGGCUCAACCUCGGGUCUGCAGUCGAUACGAGCAAACUAGAGUGUUGCAGGGGAGACUGGAAUUCCUGGUGUAGCGGUGAAAUGCGCAGAUAUCAGGAGGAACACCGGUGGCGAAGGCGGGUCUCUGGGCCGAUACUGACACUGAGAAGCGAAAGCGUGGGGAGCGAACAGG
rnacentral:rRNA from 1 species